rnacentral:rRNA from 1 species
UGCAAGUCGCACGAGAAGGGUAGCAAUACCUGAGUACAGUGGCGCACGGGUGAGUAACACGUGAAUCAUCUACCUUCGAGUGGGGAAUAACUGAGAGAAAUCUCAGCUAAUACCGCAUAAUACCUACGGGUCAAAGCAGCAAUGCGCUUGAAGAGGAGUUCGCGGCAGAUUAGUUAGUUGGCGGGGUAAUGGCCCACCAAGACGAUGAUCUGUAUCCGGCCUGAGAGGGCGCACGGACACACUGGAACUGAAACACGGUCCAGACUCCUACGGGAGGCAGCAGUGGGGAAUUUUGCGCAAUGGGGGAAACCCUGACGCAGCAACGCCGCGUGGAGGAUGAAAUCCCUUGGGAUGUAAACUCCUUUCGAUCGGGAAGAUUAUGACGGUACCGAUAGAAGAAGCCCCGGCUAACUUCGUGCCAGCAGCCGCGGUAAUACGAGGGGGGCAAGCGUUGUUCGGAAUUAUUGGGCGUAAAGGGCGCGUAGGCGGUUUGACAAGUCUGAUGUGAAAUCUCUGGGCUCAACCCAGAGUCUGCAUUAGAAACUGUCGGGCUUGAGUAUGGGAGAGGUGAGUGGAAUUUCCGGUGUAGCGGUGAAAUGCGUAGAUAUCGGAAGGAACACCUGUGGCGAAAGCGGCUCACUGGACCAUAACUGACGCUGAGGCGCGAAAGCUAGGGGAGCAAACAGGAUUAGAUACCCUGGUAGUCCUAGCCCUAAACGAUGAUUGCUUGGUGUGACAGGUACCCAAUCCCGUCGUGCCGAAGCUAACGCGAUAAGCAAUCCGCCUGGGGAGUACGGUCGCAAGGCUG